UCCAGGGGGCUGCUAGGCUUUCUGAGGUGU
rnacentral:piRNA from 1 species